CAACGAGAUUAAAUGGCAAUGAUACUUCACUAACUAGUACCUUAUUCAUGUAACUAUCAAGACAGCUGGCCACUUGGAAUCCAACUAUAGAAGCCUGCAUGGGA